CAGUCGCCACGGUAAUACGAAGGGUGCAAGCGUUACUCGGAAUUACUGGGCGUAAAGCGUGCGUAGGUGGUGGUUUAAGUCCGUUGUGAAAGCCCUGGGCUCAACCUGGGAAUUGCAGUGGAUACUGGAUCACUAGAGUGUGGUAGAGGAUAGUGGAAUUUCCGGUGUAGCAGUGAAAUGCGUAGAGAUCGGAAGGAACAUCUGUGGCGAAGGCGACUAUCUGGGACAACACUGACGCUGAGGCACGAAAGCGUGGGGAGCAAACAGGAUUAGAUACCCCCGUAGUCCCUGUCUCUUAUAC
rnacentral:rRNA from 1 species